rnacentral:rRNA from 1 species
UUUAUGGAGAGUUUGAUCCUGGCUCAGGAUGAACGCUGGCGGCGUGCCUAAUACAUGCAAGUCGAGCGAACAGACGAGGAGCUUGCUCCUCUGACGUUAGCGGCGGACGGGUGAGUAACA